CUCAGAAGGCCGCUGGCGUGUGGGACGGGGGCUGUGGCAGAGGCCCUGAGAGGAAGUGAAGUCUCCUGCCCAACCCUUCGGAAAGGCCACCCGUGGCUGGUGGGAGCCGGGCCGGGGCGCUGAGGGCCGGCUUCUGCCCACUCGUGCCAGGCCCCGGGGGUCCCUGGUCUUGUCCUUGCCUCCAUGCAAACAUCCACACCUGGAAGCUGGGGCGAGGUCUGGCCACUCCUGGAAUAUCAGCCUCCACUCCUGGCCCCACCGCGUAAGAGGAGAAACUACCAACAGUGUUCCCAGGAGGAGAAGUUCUCUCUGAGGAUGAGGAACUAGCGGGAGGACCUCACUGGUCUGCCUGGGAAAGGAGGCUGCUGGAGGGAGAGCAUGCUCUUCUGAAGAGAGGCUGGUGAGCUGCUCUGCAGACCUGGCCUCGGGGUGGAGCCCGCUGGGAGCAGCAUUUCUCAGUGGACCUGACUGGAGAUGCCUUUGGAAGGUAGUGAGCUCCCCGUCAUGGGAAGUGUGUGAACAGAGUUGGCUGAUCUGAUAGUGAUGGCAUGAGAGCAUUUCAAGUGUCAGAAGCAGCAUUGGACUUACUGUUUCCAAACUUCAUUUUGGAUUUUAUUCCUGGAGACUGUUAUUUACACAAUGUUUUUCCUUCGGACAAUUCAUGUAUUUUACUAAAACAGUACAUUUCUUUUUAAAAAGGUAAAUCCGUGUCUUUAUCCUAGAGAGGCUAGCAUCAACAUGGAAAAAGGAAAACGGAAAGCGGUGUUCACUUCUAGCCAAAGACUACUGCCUGCAGAGAGCUCUGGGCCUCGGACCUGCUCCCUCUUUGUUUGCCAAAGGGCUGCCGUCAGUCGCUAAGGGGCAGGAGACCAUCUCCGGACCCGACCGGCAGGUGGGAGGAGGAGGGAGGAAAGGCCUGGCUCCCGCCGUGAUUCCCUGCUGUUUGCCAUUUUGCCUGGGCCCUGUCUCCAUCCAUGGCCCACUCGACGGAGCCUUCGUCCACCUCUGGGAGGCGCUGGCCCCCAGCGAGCCUGGGCUCACGGCCCUUCCCUGUCCGUACCACCAGACUGAGGGCUCUCCACCGGGGAUCCUCUCGAGGCUCUUGUCCACAGGCACAAUUUAAAAGGGUUUUGUCUGGGGCAGAAAUAAUUAAAAGGAAAAGAAAGAAAGAGCUCAAGUUCCGCCGGCUCCCCUGCGGUCCUGCGGGGGAUGCCCAGCUGCAUGUCAGGGCACCUCCAGAAGACUCUGAACGGGCCAGGUGCAUGUUUAUGGCCAAUCAUUCUCCUCUGAUAUCAUCUCUGGAGGCACCCCAAAGCACUGAAAUGUGCAGGCUUUUGCUGUCACACCGUCUCUCUGUGGACGUCUGCUGGCUUUCUGCACAUCUCACGUCCAGGAGAGACGUCUCCUCCUGAGAUCAGAAGCAAAGAGAGAGAAACUCUCUCCAGGUCUUGGGACAAGUUAAUGGCCAAACUGGAAGUACCCCCGACACUCCACAGGUGGACAGAUGAGGCGCCAUGUUCUUUCUAGAGGCCACCAACAAACCGGUCACUGCUUAGAGAUACUGGUGAUAGAGACGAGGGUCUGGGUGGAGAAAGAUGGACCACACAGCCCUGAGCUCUGAGGACCUCAUCUGAGGACACGUGGGGCACCCUAAGUUCCAGGAAAGGCAGGCCCAACAGAGUGGGGGGCCCCCUCUGUGCCGGCGGCUCUGUAGCUCAGGAGCUUCAGAAGCUGCAGGGAGACAGGGGCCGGCCCCCAGUGCCCACGGAGCCCAGCCCUCGUCCAGACCCAGGGCCCGGCUGCCCAGCAGCUCCCUAGAAGGAUCAUUUGACUUUCAUCAGGAUCCACUUUCUGCACUCGCUUCUAUAAGGAGACAACUAUGUUUGCCAGCUGGAGGGCACCCAGAACUGCCCGGGCCUGCCCAGCUGCCCCGCUGGGCUGGGGUGGAGGUGGGGUCAGAAGGUCCAUUUGGCAGAGCCCUCCCGUUCCGGAAUGGGAAUUGCUGGGAGCUUCACAGGUAUGCACGCAGGGCCGUCCGACGUGGCCCGAGAGGGUCAGGCCUUCCAGCUUGCUCUUACCCCGACCCACGGAAGACCCGUCACUCCUGAAUCCUGUCCCUGCCUUGACUAGCAAGACUAGUUUGCAUCGAAGGGGUUUUGUGUCACACACAUUAAAAGCAAACAUUCAAAUUAUCAGCAAUUAUUUGUAGGCCUGCUUGGGCGUUCCUUCGUGUUUUGUUUUGUUGGGAACUGCCGCAAACCGAGCGGGCUGGAGGUUUCCCCGCCACCGAGGCCCUGCCCUCGGCAUCCUUGUCCCACUAAGCCAAGGCUGCUCCUCAGGACAAUCAACAAAAAGGAGCAAAAGACCCUAGGAAGGGAAAAACACACAACGCAGGGCGGCAGGGGCCUCCGAGUCUGCCGUGGAGCUGGGGGGGUCUGUCCGCAUCCCUCCGGAGACCCCCAUGCCCUCUCGGCUCAGCUCCCCCCUUGCCCAGUGUCCUUGUCCUGUGUCUCCCACUGGCCUGGGGCUGGAGCUCAGAGCUCAUACCUCCUGCCUGGCGCCCGGCUCCCUGCCCUCCCGCCUGAUCUGGUUGCCCUCUCCCAGCCAGUGGGACCUGCCUGCCCCACAGGCACCCUGCAGUACACACUGUACUGUCCUUUUUCCCGAAAACUUCCUUCUUUGCCGACUAUGGACAUCUCCAUCCCACCUCCUCCAGGAAAUCCUCAAGGACCUCGUCUCUCUCUCCGCCCCUGGAAGCUGGCUCUCUGAGCUCUGUAGGUCUUUGUCUGUGGGCAUAGACCUCGCCCAGGUGCUGCCAGGUUGCAUGCUCCCUGGAGAACCUUCCAGCAAUCUGGCCAUCCAGCGUUUGACACCCCAGCUGUGAGCAAGGCACUGGGGGUGAAAAAGAGGGGACGCACGCACGUUCAUGAGACAUGAUUGCAAGGGGCUGCCUCAGUUUCCCCAGCCCCGGGAGACAUCCUGGACAUCCACAGCCUGUUGCCAGCCCAGGGUCCCCUCUGCUGGCAAUGGCCUCGUCAUGGUCCUGGAACUGCUUCCGGCCAGGUGGUUCUGUUCACUGAGUCACCAGCACACUGGUCUGCCUGAGCCCUUGGGCUACCUUCCUCCCCCCACCCAGGACCUUUUCGACCUUCAUGCUGGACGACACGGCUCCAUCCCAGAGAGGAGCUGCAGGGGCCCGAGAGGCCCCUUCCCCGGAGUAAGCCGUGAGGUCACCGGCAAACUCCCAACGGAGAAGCCGACCUCCAGGGCCUCUAACUUAGCGAUGGAGCGGCGACCAGGUGGCUGCCAGCUACCCACA